GGUUCAAAGUUUAGAACUUUUUGCUUUUUUAAUGAAAUUUUAUGGCUUUAUAUGCUUGUUUUCUUUGCUUAUUUCGGGUUUCAUAGCAAAUAAUAAUAUCAUCAAGAAAAUGAGCCAUUCAUCAGUGAAAUCAGACGAGCAAAAAAAUUUUUUUUUUUUAGUUUAAAAAGCAUAUUGGAGAAACCCCAUUUAGUUAAAAUUCAAGAAUUUGCAGCUUAAAGAUAAAUUUUUUUCUUCCUUACAAAUGUGCUAACUGUAAGUCUUUUGUUUGAUAGUAUAAUGAGAUUUUAUUUUUUUCAAUUAUUGAGUUUUGAAAGUGAAAAAGGUGAAUCUUUUGGCUCAACAGCUCUUUUUGGUCAAAGUUUGGAUCUUUUUGGUAAUUUGAUGUGUCAGAAACAAAAAUAGCUGACUUUCUCAUGAAUUUUGUGAAUGGGUUAACUUAUUCUUUGAAUUCAUUUUGAAAUUUUCUGAUUCUUUGUUAAAGUUUGAAAUUUUUUGGUUUAUUUUUGACACCUUUAUGUGAAAAAUUGAUGAAAUCUUAUGUCUUACUCGGUCAUCGUAUGUUUUAAUUUUAUGUUUCAUAUUGAUAUGAUGGGGAUUGACUAUUCUGCUUGAAAUAACCUGCAUUAUAGGUGGUCUUCUUUUUUUGCCGAAUCACAUUUAGAAAUGCUUUUUUUUCCCCACGAAUGAAAGUUUCGUUGUUUGCCUGGUAUGGUUGUGGAUUCCUAUCCUGUUUUUAGAAUUUGGUUUUGUUCCAAGAUCAUGAAGCUUGAGAUGUUUUUUACUAAGGAAAAAAACUGCUUUAAAUCCUGUUUUUGAAGAUGCUCGGUUAAUCCUCGUGCUAUUGUGACCUUCCUUAUGGAUUUUGAUUUUAGUAUAUUCAUCCUUCACAAGUUACUUCCGUUAAAUUCAUUUUAUUUCUUGAUCAGGUUUUUCGUUUUCAAGAUUGUUUCCCUUCUCACAAACAAAGAAGAGAGGGGGGGGGGGGGGGGGGGGAGAGAGAGAGAGUUUGUUGACCUUUUUGGCUUUGUGGUCAUGUACACUAUUUUGUUUCUGCCAUUGGGGCGGAAAGAACAAAGUGCUUCCAGAUGGAUCCACUUCGUAUGUGGGAGGUAUUACCGAUCAGAUUAUUGUGAAGACAGGCAUAAAGUAGAACGAUUUUGUGAAUGCAGUUUUCGACCGAUUAGGGAUUGAUCCUUCAGAUAAAGUCUUACAGUUUACAGUGAAGUUUGAUAAGGCCCAAUUGAUACGGCUCAGAGACCAAGAAGGUGUCAAUAUUUUGUUACAAUUUAAUGACGGUUUUGCCCACGUUUAUGCAUCAAGUUCAGAGAAGGAGCCUAAUUCUGCAGUUGCUCCGGCUACCACUAGGAUUUCAACCACUGAGGUCGAAGCAGUCUCUCUCGGAAGUGCUGAGGAUGAACAAGUGAGUGCCGAUUCCAAUUCUCGCACCUUCACACCAAUGGAUCACUGAUGGAACUCCAGAUGCUGCUGCCAACUGGAGUGAAUUACUUGUUGGGGAAGGACAAGCCUUUCGAGAACGCUGAUGCUUUUAGGAAGAACAAGUUUUUCAUUUUUAAGAUUGUUUCCCUUCUCACAAAUAAAAAAGAAAGAAAGAAAGAGAGAGUUUGUUGCCUUUUUUGGCUUUGUGGUCAUGUACUUGUUCACGAUGGGAACUGAAGAUAACACAUGUCUUUAU